UUGGGGAGAAGAAGGGCACAGCGGCGGGAGGAAAGAAACAGAGCGAUCUAGGCUCGGUGAGCGCGGAGAUCAGCCGGUUGCUGUCACGUGUCUGAAAGGAGGAGCUGAAAGGCCCAGGGGAGGAGCACGCGGUAGCGUCUCCUGCCCCCACCCUGGUCCUCUAGAGGAGUUCUGGUGACCACGUGAAGUUGCCUCAGGGUCUAGCCCACCCUCCUCAACUCUUAACCCCGAGCUCCUAGCCAGCAAAGAUCUGCUUCCCCGCAUUCUUCUUCCGAGACCCGGGGCUCCAGGCAUGCUGCUCCCCUGUCCAGUCUCAAUUCCCGGAGGCUCCUCCUGUCUGACAGGUGGCACAGACAUGUUCAGUAGAAGAGCUCAGGUCUGCCCUGACCCGGCGAACCACAACCUUGAAAGAGAUUCCGGGUGCCCCCGCCACACACUGGCGAGUCCCCUGCCAUCGACUGCACUUCAUUUUCUGCUGAAUCUUUCACCCUUUCUUUCCUUACAAAUAGUUCCGCGGGAACAAAUGGUGGAGCCAAGUCACCUCGCCGGUCACAAAAGAUCAUUUUGUCUACCCACAGGAAGCUUGGGAUGCAAAAGUGAAAGAGCAUAGAAAAUAUUUUUUGGUUCCCAACUUUCCACUUCAUGUGAAACCUGUUCCUACAUCUUUCCUUGGAUUAUGUGAAAUCUGAGAACACUGCUUCUGCCUCUUGGCUUUCCUCUAACUUGAAGUUGGCUUCUGAUCUUUGUAGCUUUGGCUAGAACACAGCAUUACCACCCCCACCCUACACCCCUGGGAUCACUUCACACUUCCUUAGUCUGCAGGCUGGGAGGGCAGCCUCAAGAGUUUUAUCAAAUAGAAAAACCAAGAAACUCAGCAGCUUUGACUCUAUGUCUACAAGAGAAAGGGAAGACACUGGCCUUCACUGUCACCUCUCUGUGCUGAUAACGGAAGAAGAAACGUCUCCACAUGUGAAAGGAUCAUUUCUGGGGAGGAAGACAACAAAUGACAAACUGGAAAAAAAAAAAAAAAGAAAACCCACUGGACUUGGAGUUGAAGGUGCAUGUUGGUUGGGGAAAAAUUAUACAAAUUCUGCUGCAUUCGUGUAGUAUGAUUUGGGGAAAGCCAUACCCCCUUGGCCUUCAUAUAUAAAUAUUGAAGAGUGAGGAGAAUUCUAUAUCAGACCUAAAGUCUCUUUCAGCUAUCAGGGUACCUUUGCCAUCUCCUGUUGCUUUGCUUUCUGUGAUUGAAAGACAUUUCUCCCAAGGCCCUGGAGACAGGCAGACCUGGCAGAGGUUUUGUAAACAUGCUCAGUGGUUGAAAGACCCCCUUCUCUCCCACUCUGACCUGUACCCCUCUCUUUUUCUUUUUUAUGUGUAUCAGCCUUCUUCAUCUAUAUUCAUAGAACUUGGACACUUGCAGUACUGCUUUGCCAAGUUACCCCAACCUAAGAGCAUAGAAAAUAUUUUUCUAAGGUGAAAUCCAGGAUAAGAGGAAGACGUGUCACAUUGUAAAAGCAAAUAAUACAGAGAUAGGUUAUUUGGCUAGAAGCAAGUUUGCAGAUAUUUUCUGCAUGAAUCCAUUUCCUGAUUAAGAGGUGUGUGUGUGUGUGUGUGUGUGUGUGUGUGUGUGUGUGUGUGUUGCUAGGGAUCAAACCUAGGACCUCGUGCAUGCUAAGCAAGCACUCUACCACUGAGUUACAUCCCAGCCCACAAUACUUGUUUUUUUUUCUUCUUCUCUUUUUUAUUUGGAUCAGUCCUUGGUUCUUUGGAUUCACAACUGCUGAUUUGGUUAGGAUAGACCAUGUCUGGUCUGUGACUUUGUUCCAUGUCCAUGCUAUACCUGAAAGGAAAUCCAUGGAACCCAGUAAUCAGGGAUUUUUAGUCUCCAUAUUUGGAGGCAGUAUCUGUCUCAUAAGGUGGGGAGGCUCCAUAAUUGAACAGAUGUUUAGAUUCUGUACAGUUAAAAAUAUCCACGGUUGCAGCUGACAAUUCUCAAAUGAUUUUCUUCAAUUCUUUGGGCAAUGGUCUUUAAAAGACUGUUACUUGAGAAUCAUAAAACUAAUAAUUAUUUUUUCUCUUGGCCUGAAAUAUUGAGGGCUAAGGAAGAAAAUAAUUUGGUCCUCUCUUCACAUAGCCUGAUAGGAGUUUGGCUGGGAUACGGAAAUAGGAGGAUGUAGUUAGAGAAUUAACUGCCAAAGCCAAAAUUUAUGUCUGGAAGAACCAAUUUAUAAUCCUUUACUCUGAUAAUUAAAUUACACAAUCUCUUUCCAGCCACUUUCUUUUUCACAAGAAUGGUUUAAUGCACACUAAGGUUUUUCCUGGACGAAAUAAUUUAUUGUUUUUGUAUUUUCUGGAAUUAGAACAGUUAAAUUAGAGCUAGCUAAAAAGAUACACAAAGAAGUUUAAGUAUAACUCGUUUCCUCCAUCUAAUUGUACUAGCUUGCUAGGUUUACUGUAAUAAAGUACCACAGACCAGGUGACGUAAACAACAGAAUUUUAAUGCUCUCACAGUUCCGAAGCUGGACAUCUAAGAGCAAAGUGUCAUAAGGGUUGGCUUCUUUGAAGGCUGUGAGGGAAGCAUCUGUUCCAGGCCUCUCUCCUUGGCUUGUAGAUGGCCAUCUUUCCCCUGUCUUCACAUUGCCUUCCCUUAGUAAAUGUCUCGGGUCCAAAUUUAUCCUUUUUAUAAAGAUACCAGUCAUGUUGGAUUAGGUCCCAUCCUAAUGAUCUCAUUUAACUUUAUUACCUCUGUAAAGAUCUUAUUUCCAAAUAAGGUCACAAUCUGAGGUACUGAGGAUUAGGACUUCAACAUACGAAUCUGCGGGGAGGGCAACACAAUCAACUCAUGACACUGAUCUUGUUGGUGAUCUGGCACAAGGCUCUGAUGGCUGUAUUGGGAAGAAAGUAGUGUUGAGGGCUGGGAGACUAAGACAAAUAGCAUUCCUGAAUGUGGGCAGACCUGAGAAGGCCUCUUAGAUCUGUCAAAGGACAAAAAUCACAGUUAUGUUCUAGAAUAGGGUAACCCUUUACUCCAUAAAAUUGAAUGAAUGAUGAGCUAGCUGAACAGAAAAAGUUGUUUUAUAGACAGAAAAAGUUAGAGAAAGCAAAAACACUCCCCCCCCCCGUCCCCCCACCCAAAAAAAUGCUUAUUGGUCAUUUCAAAGUUACUUUCCUUUUAAGGCCAUCAAUAGAAAGGCAACUGAUUAGUUAGCAUCAGAUUUUGCUUUAGGUUACCCCUUUCCCUGUAAGGAUUAAAGCAGAGGGAACAUCUUUAUCCUGCCAAUUGAAAUGUGCCUGUAAGGGAAAUUUGGCUGUUAUUUCCCUAAUCCUGAUUUCUUGGAAGAGGCAUAUACAGCUUAGUUUCAGUUUGUAACUUGAUCACGAACAACUCUGUUUUGAUUUUUAGUCUGGUCUGUUGAGUCCUAGUGAAGGUGCAUAGUCCAAAACAAUGGCAUCCCAUUAUUUUUAUUUAACAGUAUAUAAUCUAAGGUUGUAAUAUUUUUAAUAAACAAUUUGAAGACAUGAUCUAACACAUAUAAGCAGAAUUUAGUAAGUAUUUAUCCUAUGAGUGGAACCAAAAACAUUUUUGUCUAAUUUUAAAAAGUACAAUUUCUCUAAAUCUUUCUCUCUAGGUGCUAAAGCUUAUUCUGCCAACAGUUUGGCAAUAUUAUAAUAGAAUUUAAUAGUGCCAAUUUUACUUUAAUUAUAAGAAUCAUAUAUAAAACCUCAAAAUUCAUAACAUAUUUUUCACAUAUUUCAUCCAAUCUAAUUAAACUAUAUUUUUAAGGCACUUUCGUGUUAAGAAAGAUGCAGUAAAACAAAUAUAAUGAAGUCAGAAGUUUUCUUUCUUUCUUUUUUCUUUUUUGCUGAGGAUUGAAUCUAGGGCCUUACACAUGCUAGGCUAUUAUUCUUCCAAUGAGAUAUAUCAUAUCCCCAGCCCUUCUUAUUCUAAGUCAGGAUCUCACUAAUUUGCCCAGACUGGCCUGGAAUUUGUAAUCUUCCUGCCUCUGCCUCCUGAGUAGCUGGUAUUACAGGUAUGGGUUACCAAGCCUGGCUUGAAAUCAGAAAACUUUCAUGGAAUCUACUUAAACACACCCACUUUAUCUGUUUCAUAGGAUUCAAAAAUAAUAAUGUGAGCUACAUAAGGUUCUACAGGUCCUAGGCAUUUUUAUUAUAUCAAACUAUGGGCAAAGAUUCUCACUUUUGUUUUUAACUUACUGAGACAUUUGUCAAAUUGUCUGUUGAUCUCUAGCAUCUCGUUCAAUAGAGAUGAUUGCUGAGAUGUUGAAAGGUAUUAAUAGUAUAAGCAAAUACGUCAAAUUUUAUGAAAUUGCUUUGUUAAAAAUACAGACUAGAAAUUUUAAAAAUAAGCUGAAGGCUAAGUGAACCUCUUUCUUUCCUUUGUAUUCUAGAUCUCUUUUGAUACCUACCAUAUUCCAUUUUGCAUUUUGGCAAAUUAUGCUUAUUUCACAAAUUUAGUAAAUCACACACGUAUAUUUCUACUAUACUCUACAUUAGGAUUAUGGGGAAAAUGAGUUCUAUUCACCUUCCACUUUUUCAGGUUUUUCCUCCUUAGCACCUUGCUGAGUUAGGGUAGAUAUAACCUUGUGAGCUUUGAGACAUUUGAAUGUGAAUGAGGAAAGCAACCACAUGAUGGCAGCAUGUUAAAAGAAUAAAGAAUUACUUGAAGACAUCCUUUCAAUUUUUAGAACUCUGUAUGAACAAAGAAGAAAACCUCAGACUUAACACUUAACCUGCUUCCUGAAUCCCUUAUUCAAGUCAGCUCUUACAGAUGCAGCAGAUGAAGUAAACUGAUUGGUUUCAGAUCUCAAAAGCUCAGGGACUCUGAGCUCUUAGAUCCUAAACUAGAACCAGGCAAGCAGACUACUCAUCCUUUAAACUGAAUAGUUCUGGGUAACAAGUAUGAGAAUUAUUUGGAAUAUUAUACAAAGCCAAAUAAUAAUUAAUGGAUAGUGCUUAAUACUAACGUAUCAUAGUUACACAAGAUGCUUUUUUUCAUCUUGUACACAUUUGUGUCAUAAGUUUUUUGUUUGUUUUUGUUUUGUUUUUUUGUCUGUUCUUUUUCGUGCUGGGGAUGGAACCCAGAGCCUUGGAGCAUGCUAGGCUAAGCUACGCCCACAGCCCCCUGUUAUGCAAUUUUGAAUGAAUCAUCAAAACAUUUCAGUACCUAAUUUGAAUAAUCUCUUUGCCUUGUCAUCUGUGACUGAAGACUUCAUUUCAUUAACAAACAAAUUAGUCAACAUUUGUUGAAUACCCCCAACUACAUGCUAACUGCCUAGACUGGGAAAGAAUGAAGAAAAACCAACCGCUUGGCUCUUGUAUUGGAAAAACCUAGGUGUGAGUUAUUCAGAACCCCAAACAAUCCCAUCAGAUCUAUCUUUCUUUUCCCUACUCUCAGUUGUUCCCUCUCUCUCCCUCUCUGUCCUUUGUGUUGUAUUGUGUGUUUGUUUUUCCUGAGAUUGCACCCAGGGGCACUCUACCACUGAGCUAUGCCCCCAGACCUUUAUAUUGAGACAGUGUCUAGCUUAAUUGCUGAGACUGGUCUUGAACCUGUGAUCCUCCUGCUUCAACCUGGCAUCACAGGUGCGUACCACCUUCUCUGCAUCAGUUCUGUUUUCUUUUGCAUUGGAUUAUGGCAAACAUGACCCCAGUCUAUUGGCUUAGCUACUUCAGAAAGAGAACUCUGUUGCAAAGUUUUCAGCAAAGGUUCUGGGGCUGUGUCCCAUUGGCCAGGUUUGUGUCACUUACGAAAGUCUGAAAUAAUCACAGCCUCCAUCAUGAAUGAAGGACCCUGAUUUGCUGGACCAGUCACAGACUCACAUGCUAGACCAGAACUUAAACCACUUUCUUCUCCCACAAUAACAUGUACUGAGAAUGGAUACCUAAAAAUUUUUCCAAGGGCAAACCAGUAUGCUGUUACCAAAAUAAGGGACAAGGAAUGCUAAGCAGACAGAAACAACAGUAUCCACCAAAAGCAGUUAAUAAACUUUAAAUGAAUUAGACUUGGGAGGCUGCAGGAGAACGGCAAAUUUGAAGCCAUCCUUGGUUACUUAGGAUAAAAAGCGUUGAGAAUGUAGCUCAGUGGCAGUGUGGCUGAAAGCUCAGUCCUUGUCCCCAUGCCAAUUUUUUGA